rnacentral:rRNA from 1 species
CCAAUAGCGUAUAUUAAAGUUGUUGCAGUUAAAAAGCUCGUAGUUGAACCUUAGGCCCGUGCGGGUGGUCCGUCCUCAGGGCGAGCACUGCCUCGUCGCGGGUCUCACCUUCUGGCGAGCGUGGAUGCCAUUCAUUUGGUGUCCGCGGGAACCAGGACCUUUACCUUGAAAAAAUUAGAGUGCUCAAAGCGAGCUUAGACGCUUGAAUACAUUAGCAUGGACUAAUGAAAUAGGACGAUGGUUCUAUUUUGUUGGUUUCUGGGACCGUCGUAAUGAUUAAUAGGGAUAGUUGGGGGCAUUCGUAUUCAAUUGUCAGAAGUGAAAUUCUUGGAUUUAUUGAAGACGGACUACUGCGAAAGCAUUUGCCAAGGAUGUUUUCAUUAAUCAAGAACGAAAGUUGGGGGAUCGAAGACGAUCAGAUACCGUCGUAGUCUCAACCAUAAACUAUGCCGACUGGGAAUCGGGCGAUGUUAUUUUUCGUGACUCGCUCGGCGCCCCGAG